rnacentral:lncRNA from 1 species
UUUUUUCUUUGGGUUUUAAGGUAAAAGAGAUGUGAAAUUACAAGAUUGACCCUUAGACUAAUUCUUCGAUUCAACCUAAGGCUCGGGGGCUACUCCAUAUAGAGUUCGAUUUUCAUUGCACUUCCAUAUAAGAUUCAAGAUUGAAGAUUCAAUAUCAAGUUAAAUGAGGCUUGAGCACAUUCUAGCUGCAUGACAGUACUCAUGUUCCUUUGAAGAUUCAAUCCGAUGG